rnacentral:rRNA from 1 species
UACGAAGGGGGCUAGCGUUGUUCGGAAUCACUGGGCGUAAAGCGCACGUAGGCGGACUUUCAAGUCAGGGGUGAAAUCCCGGGGCUCAACCUCGGAAUUGCCUCUGAUACUGUAGGUCUCGAGUCCGGAAGAGGUGGGUGGAAUUCCUAGUGUAGAGGUGAAAUUCGUAGAUAUUAGGAAGAACACCGGUGGCGAAGGCGGCCCACUGGUCCGGUACUGACGCUGAGGUGCGAAAGCGUGGGGAGCAAACAGG